AUCAAUAUUUGAAUGUCCUGGACAUUUAGGGAACAUUCGGUGAACAUCUGUUUAAAUUAUUCCUGGAAUGUUACCAUAAGACAUUCUGUGAACAUACUACCAAUGUUCCUAUAUUUUAAGUUGCGAAAUAAUACAUACGUGUAAGAGAUACAACAUUACUUAUAACAUACCAGACAAACUAAGUGACAUUUUAGGCCUACAGUGCAAUAAUAUGUCAAAUUUAAAGAGUUUCCCAAGUUCAAUUAAUACAAUAUUAUAAACAUACAAAUGUAAUAAAAAUUAUUGUUCGCGAAUAUUCAAUUUGGAAUGCGAUUUUGUUAAUAAAAAAAAUACUUAUAACUUAUGCAAAACCCAAGAGAGGCAUUUAUAUUUAUUUCUUUUGCGUUCAUUUUCAAAUUCGCCGUGCAUAUAUUUUUGUGCAUGGCGCUUGAGAGGGCAUCACGUGACUAAAAACGACCAACCAUCGACCUCGCUUCGGCCAUCUUGGCAUCUUCAUCUUGGCGACUGGCGACCUUGCCUUGCCGUGGAUUGUUUGUAUUAUUUGUGCUUUUUAAGAAUAUUUUUUUAAUUCGGAUACUUUUAUAAUAGCUUUAAUAGUAUUAUUAACAUAGUGCAUAAAAUGGUGUCCUGUUUUUAACGCAGUUGGAGUAGCAGAAACAAAUGUAGAUAAAAAAAUCUGCAGGAAUAACGUUUCAAUUAUGACAGAAGCUCAAAACAAAUGACUGUGAAUGAACAGCCCUAUUAAAAGCUUUCCAGAAGAUCCUGCGAAGAAGACAUGAAGUAUAGAUCAGAUUUGUUAAUAGAGGAGUAUGUUCAAAACACUUUCUAGAAAAAGAUAUUGACAGAACUUCACUUUCAUCUGUUCGUUUGAGAGACUGUGCUGUUCCAAUAGCUUAUGUCACACAGAAUCAGCUGAGAGAAGUGGUCUACAAAAAACCAGAAAGGAAACAGAAUAUGUGGCUACGAAAAGCAAAAGAAAGGUUUACAAAGCAAAUGUGACACAUUUUUUUAUAAUAUUUAGGAAUGUCAGCAAAUUACAUUAAAAAAUGUAUGUAAAGAUUUUUUGCAAUAAAAAUGUUUAUAUUUA
rnacentral:lncRNA from 1 species